rnacentral:tRNA from 1 species
GUGGGUACAGCUCAGUGGUAGAGCGCAUGCUUAGCAUGCACAAGGUCCUGGGUUCAAUCCCUAGCACCUCUA